rnacentral:antisense_RNA from 23 species
AAAAGCACGACAUUGCUCACAUUGCUUCCAGUAUUUUAAGCCAGCUCGGGUGCUGGCUUUUUUGU